rnacentral:rRNA from 1 species
UACAGAGGGGGCAAGCGUUGUUCGGAAUUACUGGGCGUAAAGGGCGCGUAGGCGGCCUUCUAAGUCGAACGUGAAAUCCCCGGGCUCAACCCGGGAACUGCGUCCGAUACUGGAAGGCUUGAAUCCGGGAGAGGGAUGCGGAAUUCCAGGUGUAGCGGUGAAAUUCGUAGAUAUUGGGUGGAACACCGGUGGCGAAAGCGGCUCACUGGCCCGGUUCUGACGCUGAGGCGCGAAAGCGUGGGGAGCAAACAGG